ACUCAAAUGAAUUGACGGGGGACCGCACAAGCAGCGGAGCGUGUGGUUUAAUUCGAGGCUACACGAAGAACCUUACCUAGGUUUGACAUCCUGGUGAAUUCUGUGUGAAAGCAUGGGAGACCCGCAAGGGACAGCAGGACAGGUGCUGCAUGGCUGUCGUCAGCUCGUGCCGUGAGGUGUUCGGUUAAGUCCGCAAACGAGCGCAACCCUCGGUGCCAGUUACAAGUGUCUGGCGCGACUGCCCGUGGCAAACGGGAGGAAGGUGGGGAUGACGUCAAGUCAGCAUGGCCUUUAUAUCUAGGGCUACACACACGCUACAAUGGCGCGUACAAUGGGUCGCCAACCCGCGAGGGGGAGCCAAUCCUAAAAAGCGCGUCUCAGUUCAGAUUGUAGGCUGCAACCCGCCUGCAUGAAGUUGGAGUUGCUAGUAACCGCGCGUCAGCAGAGUGCGGUGAAUACGUUCCCGGUCCUUGCACACACCGCCCGU
rnacentral:rRNA from 1 species